ensembl:rRNA 5S_rRNA 5S ribosomal RNA
GCCAGCAGCCAUAUCACCCUACAACUCACAACUGGCAACCCACUGAAGCUAAGCAGGUGUGAGCCUGGUCAGUACCUGGAUGGGAGACCUCCUGGGAAAAACUAAGGUUGCUGCUGGAA